CUUGGUCAUUUAGAGGAAGUAAAAGUCGUAACAAGGUUUCCGUAGGUGAACCUGCGGAAGGAUCAUUAUUGAAUACAAACCCUGGUCUUGGUUGUGCUGGCCCUUAGGGGCAUGUGCACGCCUUGGUCAUCGUUUCUAACCACCUGUGCACCUUUUGUAGACCUUGGAAUUGGGGAGUUGCUGUUCGCUGUCUAAGCCGGCUCUCCCUGUUAAACCCUCAAGGUCUACGCAUUUACAUACCCCAAAAAAGUUAUAGAAUGUUUUAUUAUUGGCCUCAGUGCCUUUAACCUAAUACAACUUUCAACAACGGAUCUCUUGGCUCUCGCAUCGAUGAAGAACGCAGCGAAAUGCGAUAAGUAAUGUGAAUUGCAGAAUUCAGUGAAUCAUCGAAUCUUUGAACGCACCUUGCGCUCCUUGGUAUUCCGAGGAGCAUGCCUGUUUGAGUGUCAUUAAAUUCUCAACCUGACCAGCUUUUGCGAGCUGGCUAGGCUUGGAUGUGGGGGUUGCCGGCCUUUUCCAUAGGUCAGCUCCUCUUAAAUGCAUUAGCGAAACCUUGUUGACCGCUGCUGGUGUGAUAAUUAUCUACGCUACGGCAGUCAGCUAUUUGGGUGUUUGCUUCUAACCGUCUGCAAGGACAACACUUUGACAAUUUGACCUCAAAUCAGGUAGGACUACCCGCUGAACUUAAGCAUAUCAAUAAGCGGAGGA
rnacentral:rRNA from 1 species